rnacentral:rRNA from 1 species
AGCAUAUCAAUAAGCGGAGGAAAAGAAACCACCCGGGAUUGCCCCCGUAACGGCGAGUGAAGCGGCAGAGCUCAAAUUUGAAAUCUGGCCCCUCGGGGGUCGAGUUGUAAUUUGCAGAGGAUGCUUCGGGUGCGGCCCCCGUCUAAGUGCCCUGGAACGGGCCGUCAGAGAGGGUGAGAAUCCCGUCCUGGGCGGGGUGUCCGUGCCCGUGUGAAGCUCCUUCGACGAGUCGAGUUGUUUGGGAAUGCAGCUCUAAAUGGGUGGUAAAUUUCAUCUAAAGCUAAAUACUGGCCGGAGACCGAUAGCGCACAAGUAGAGUGAUCGAAAGAUGAAAAGCACUUUGAAAAGAGAGUUAAACAGCACGUGAAAUUGUUGAAAGGGAAGCGCUUGCGACCAGACUCGCCCGCGGGGUUCAGCCGGCACUCGUGCCCGGUGUACUUCCCCGUGGGCGGGCCAGCGUCGGUUUGGGCGGCCGGUCAAAGGCCUCCGGAAUGUAUCGCCCUCCGGGGCGUCUUAUAGCCGGGGGUGCAAUGCGGUCAGCCCGGACCGAGGAACGCGCUUCGGCACGGACGCUGGCGUAAUGGUCGCAAACGACCCGUCUUGAAACACGGACCAAGGAGUCUAACAUCUACGCGAGUGUUCGGGUGUCAAACCCGUACGCGCAGUGAAAGCGAACGGAGGUGGGAGCCCCCCCGUGGGGCGCACCAUCGACCGAUCCUGAUGUCUUCGGAUGGAUUUGAGUACGAGCGUAGCUGUGGGGACCCGAAAGAUGGUGAACUAUGCCUGAAUAGGGCGAAGCCAGAGGAAACUCUGGUGGAGGCUCGCAGCGGUUCUGACGUGCAAAUCGAUCGUCGAAUUUGGGUAUAGGGCGAAAGA